rnacentral:lncRNA from 1 species
UCUUUUUUUUUCUUUCUUUCUUUUUUUAAUUUAUUUUUUAUUGGUGUUCAAUUUACUAACAUACAGAAUAACCCCCAGUGCUCUCCAUUUUAUUCCAUGCCCCUGGCAUAGCACCUAUGAGGCGCUCAAUAAAUGUCUGCUGAACAAACUCACAUGACUCCGAUGAUGCAAACAUGGAAAGAACAUCAAACAGGAGUCUAUUCCUUUGGCAUAUUGAGUAAAGGCAAGCAAGGCAAGUGCCAAGAGUGCAGAGCUAAGAUGCUGGGGAUGCAAAGGGUUCAUCACCCACUUCCCUAGAGGGCAGGUGAAAGAGGGGUGGGUGCUGCAGAAGUGCCUCAGAAACCAGGUGAGGCCAAAGACACAGAAAUGUUGUGGUGGGCAGUGAGGACAUUAGGAGAGGCCGAAGGUGUGAUGGGUCUGCCGUUAUGUGGCCUCAAGAGAAGCUGGAGCUCUGGCACACACAUACCCUGUUUAGGGUUCCGGCUGUGGGUAACAUCUCCAGAGGGGCAUCCUUCUAGGCUUCUGGUCCCCAUCCCCUGAAACGAGGGCCUUAUGCCCAGGCUGUGGGCUGGCAGGGGCAGUCUUUUCUGCGUUCUAUCAUCUUUCUUCCUCAUCAUGGCCUACAGAACCUUCUUUCUCUUCUUCCAGUUAUAAAACAAGAGCUCCAGGGCAUACAGAGCAGUAAAUGCAAGCAGGUACUGAGGAGAUGAGAGUAGAGGACCUGAGUGGACCUUUCACAUGGGCUUGGCGAACAGGACCUCCUGAAUUGUAAACAGACCACUUUGGUGGACCUUCUACCCUCAUCUCAGUUCUUGGCACCCACUGUGGACCUGUCUCUGGCCAGGGGCAGUGACAGGGAGCAUAUCUUCACCUUCCCCACUCACAGUGACUGUUUUAGAGAUGGAAAUGCUACCCAAGUAACUGCAGAAGGAAUUCUAGUGUGUGCAUGGGAGAUCUGCUUCUGCUGGAGCUGCUGGCAACUUCCUUGCCUCUGGAAAAGCCUACAAAGGAAACAGAUGCCCAGGAGAGAGAGCUGAGGGCUGGGGGAGGAGUCUGAGACCUGACAAGGGUCUCUCCUGCCUCUAGCCAUGUCUGAAGCAGCCUGCUCCACUGCUCCUGGGCUUUUCAGUUAUUUGAGCAAACAUUUUCCUUUUCCGUCUUAAGGCAGUUUGAACUGGGCUUUUUCUGCCUUGCAACGUAGAGUCCUGACUGAUAAAAGGAUUAUCUAUACUAGUAUUGUCAUGGGCCCAGUUUAGUCAGCCAAACAUGAUGUAAAUGUGGAUUUCCAGGAUCACAUCUACUGCCUAACAUAAUAGGGUAAAAUUCCCCAUCACUAUGAGAAACUAGGAAAUGGUGUGAGACGAGCUCUCAAUUUCCUGCAAAGGGAAAUCACACACGAGGAGUAGAUAGGUAGCAGAGCUGAGUGGAACAAUGCUAAUGGUAUCCUCUCAGAAUUUCAGGGGCUAAAGAUGAGGGUGAGUUUAAGGCAGUCAUUAAAACUUCUAAGAAAUAUAUUCAGCUCUGGAAUCCUCAGUUUAGGAUUUAGGAUUUUCCCCCAGUGGUCCAAGGGAGAUAGGUAAGAAACAAAAAAUUAUAAAGACCUAAUUAAUAUAAUUUUGAGAGGUGAUAUCACCUAAGAAAGGAAAAACAAGAAGCCAUGAAAACAGAACAAUCCAGAGACAGAAAUAUUCUUGGAAAUGAAACAGAUUAUUUUUCUAUGAAUCUAUAAGAAAAGAACAGGCAAGUUUGAAAAAGAACAUAAUUAUAAGCCAGUCUUAUUCAUGAACAUACACGCAAAAAUACUGAUAAAAUGUUAUGAACUGAAAAAAGCAAUGUAAAACCCAUCAUAACCAACUAGGGUUUAAUCCAGUAGCAUAUGGAAGGUUUAUCAUUAGAAAAAUAUUAAUGCAAUUAACUAAAAAUAGAUUAAAGAAAAAAGAACACAUGAUCACCUCAAUAGAUACAGAAGAAACAUUUGAUAAAAUUCUAUAUGCACUCAUUAUAAAAAUUAGGAUAAAAGAACUACAGCAAACAUUAUACCUAAUGGUGAAAUCCCAGAAAUUUUUCCUUUAAAGUCAGAAACAUGAUGAGGGUGCCUAUUAUUACUGAUCCUAUUUAACCCUGUAUUGGCAGUUCUAAGCACCUCAGUAAAAAAGAAAAAAAAAAGUGAAAGGAUUGGAGACAUUAUAAUUAUCUACAUGGGAAUAAAAGCUGGAAACAAGUAGAACUAAUGAGAGAACUUAGCAAACUUGCUGUAAACCUAUUCAAUAUACAAAAAUGGCAUGCCUUAAUGCCAGCAACACACUAUUAAAAAAAGCAAUUCUUAAAAAUCCCAUUCACAACCACAACAAAAACCUCAAAGUACAGAGGGGUAAAUUCAAUCAAACAUAUGCA